rnacentral:tRNA from 1 species
GUGGGGUUGUGGCUCAGUGGUAGAGCGCUUGCCUAGAAUGUGUGAGGCACUUGGGUUUGAUUCUCAGCACCACA